UAAAGCUCAUGGGAUGUUUCAACAGUAUAUUUUUCCUCAUUCUGAUUUUUGCCAAUUUUUUCUGCUACUUCAUAUUUUUGCCACAUAAAAUUUUCAAAUUGGCAGUUUGGCCCUUGGUCAAUGCUGGGGAUUCGUGUGAAUGGCAGUUUGGCCCUUAGUCAAUGCUGGGUAUUCGUGUCAACGAACCUUCACCGAUUCUGAUGCUUCUCACCGCCAUUCUUUUAAUUUACAGCUUCUCCACAUAAAAUGAUCCAGUAUAUCGUUCUUCUACCAAACAACCUUUCACUUCCUUCCAUCUUCUCUUAUCUCUCUCCCGGUUUUGAUCGGCUUAAGAGCGGAGCUGCUGUCCCACCGUUUUUGCUUCAUUCAAUAUCAGUGUCACGAGUUCAAUAUCAAUCUCAGGAGAGAAGCAUGGUCACACACAGAAAGAGGACUUUUUUUCGGAACUGAUUCACCUCUAAUCGUGUUUCUUCCAGGUGAUUGUUGUCGGAGAUGAUGAAAAACAUAGGUAGAAACAUGCCGCCUUUUGUAUUCCUCAAAUUUCCCUCUGGAGUUUUUAACCUCGAUUUAAGGCUCACCGUUUCUCACUUGGUAGAAGUUUUCUUCAAUCAAUGAUCCCCACCCAUUCUCUGCGAUUUUGUUAUCCCCGACCAUCGAUUUUAGAUUUGGGAGAAACCGUAGAUGUUAUCGUCGAGGUUCUGAAAGAGUGAAUCCUCGAUUUAACGUUUUUCGUCCUCUUACGUGAUGAGGUCGACGCCUACUACAACGAAGGCUGGUCGGAGGGAAUUAUCGCCGUCAUCAUACCCGGGAACUGAUAGUCGAUUUCGGUGAAAUCCCAGAUGUUCAGAUUUCCUCCGGAAAUGCUUAGACUAUCUCUACUCUUCACCAACUCAAAACUUCUUCAUCUUACAGCAAGUUUUCUCUAGAUUCCCAUUCUACUUUCACAAUUUGUACACCAAAUAAACUUUUCCUAUUUCUUUUAAGGAUGUUUACCCUUUUUCUUUAUUUUUAUCUUUGUUCCUGCAGGGAAUUUGAUCACUUGCCUCCAUCAUAACCCAAGAAAAAGAUUCAGUUAUACCCCAACCACUUCAUAUUGACAUUUGAAAUAGGGUCUUACUACGCACCCCAACUGCUCGAUGAAAUGCUUGAACUAGGAUGCCUAGAAAAGAUCAGUUUUUUUCUUCUGGAAAUAUAGAAAAAAAGUAAUUGCUUGAGUUUAGGACAUGUAUUCAUUUUGUGUUAACAUUUUUUGCUUGGUUUUAAUUUUAUCUGAUUAUAACAUUUACUAUUUAGUAAUCAGUUUUCAUCAUCAACAUUUGUAUGUUUUUUUUUUUGUAAAAUUGUUGGUUAUACACUUAUGUUUAACCAUCUUUGCUCCUCCAUGGGAAACAGCUGAUUUCUAUUCAGAGAGAUACAGCGAGUUGUUCCCUCUUUACAAGGUUUUGCUUUAACUGCUUCAACUUAUCAUUGAAGAUGAUGAAGCCAAGUCGACUCUUCAUGGGUAGAUCCAGGUAUGUUUAUCCAUGAUAAAAUUGGAUGUUAUUUUCUGGUAUAUUAGAUACAUUCAUUCCAUUGUAAUGAAAGAGGAAUGUGCAAUUUGGUUUUAUUUUUACUGUAAUCAAUUCAUUUAUAAAUUUGAAGAUUAAGACUUUUGACUUGGAGAAGAGAAUAGUCAAAAUGGAUUGAGAGAAGUUUAAACAUGUUUGAGAGGAAAGGGUAUAGCUAGAAAGUUUAAGGUGGGCAGAUGGUUAAAGAGUUUGAGAGGUAUGGGCAUAAUUGGGCAGUUGAAGGCUAGGUUGAAGGUAAGCAGAAAUUCAAGAGUUGGUGUACAUUAAAGUCUAAAAAGAAAUAUUAUCAUGCUCUGUAUGACCUUUUAAUAUAAUGCAAGAAAGUAUGAAUUUCAUAUAUAUAUAA